GGUUAAGCGACUAAGCGUACACGGUGGAUGCCCUGGCAGUCAGAGGCGAUGAAGGACGUGCUAAUCUGCGAAAAGCGCCGGCGAGGUGAUAUGAACCCUUGACCCGGCGAUGUCCGAAUGGGGAAACCCAGUGCAAUCCGUUGCACUAUCGUUAACUGAAUACAUAGGUUAACGAGGCGAACCGGGGGAACUGAAACAUCUAAGUACCCCGAGGAAAAGAAAUCAACCGAGAUUCCCCCAGUAGCGGCGAGCGAACGGGGAGCAGCCCGGAGUCUGAAUCAGCUUGUGUGUUAGUGGAACGGUCUGGAAAGUCCGACGGUACAGGGUGAUAGUCCCGUACACGAAAGCACACAUGCUGUGAACUCGAAGAGUAGGGCGGGACACGUGGUAUCCUGUCUGAAUAUGGGGGGACCAUCCUCCAAGGCUAAAUACUCCUGACUGACCGAUAGUGAACCAGUACCGUGAGGGAAAGGCGAAAAGAACCCCGGCGAGGGGAGUGAAAAAGAACCUGAAACCGUGUACGUACAAGCAGUGGGAGCCUCUUUAUGGGGUGACUGCGUACCUUUUGUAUAAUGGGUCAGCGACUUAUAUUCUGUAGCAAGGUUAACCGUAUAGGGGAGCCGAAGGGAAACCGAGUCUUAACUGGGCGUUAAGUUGCAGGGUAUAGACCCGAAACCCGGUGAUCUAGCCAUGGGCAGGUUGAAGGUUGGGUAACACUAACUGGAGGACCGAACCGACUAAUGUUGAAAAAUUAGCGGAUGACCUGUGGCUGGGGGUGAAAGGCCAAUCAAACCGGGAGAUAGCUGGUUCUCCCCGAAAGCUAUUUAGGUAGCGCCUCGUGAAUUCAUCUUCGGGGGUAGAGCACUGUUUCGGCUAGGGGGCCAU
rnacentral:rRNA from 1 species